rnacentral:rRNA from 1 species
ACGAACGCUGGCGGCGUGCUUAACACAUGCAAGUCGAACGAUGAUGGUGGUGCUUGCAUCACCUGAUUAGUGGCGAACGGGUGAGUAACACGUGAGUAACCUGCCCCUCACUUCGGGAUAACCUCGGGAAAUCGUGGCUAAUACCGGAUAUGAACUUCUACCGCAUGGUGGUCGUUGGAAAGAUUUAUCGGUGAGGGAUGGACUCGCGGCCUAUCAGUUUGUUGGUGAGGUAAUGGCUCACCAAGACGAUGACGGGUAGCCGGCCUGAGAGGGCGACCGGCCACACUGGGACUGAGACACGGCCCAGACUCCUACGGGAGGCAGCAGUGGGGAAUAUUGCACAAUGGGCGAAAGCCUGAUGCAGCGACGCCGCGUGGGGGAUGACGGCCUUCGGGUUGUAAACCUCUUUCAGUAGGGAAGAAGCGAAAGUGACGGUACCUGCAGAAGAAGCGCCGGCUAACUACGU